UUAUUUGGUGGUGAAAGAUUCUCGAAUUUCCCGGCCAAUGCACCAAAUGAAAGACCCCCGAAGGGAGACCCUUACUCAGACACUCAAGUCCCGGGACAGCCGCGUACCCAAGAAGACACUGAGACCA
rnacentral:pre_miRNA from 7 species